rnacentral:sRNA from 1 species
AAAAUUACAACUUUUAUAAGUACAAGCCAGAACACACUUGUUUGUUCUUUAAAAUCGAAUAAUUAGUCAUGUAAAUCACUUUUAAAAAGCUUUUAAAAUCCCUUGUAAAUAUGUAUCGAACACUGCCUAUCCUUUAAAAACGGCUUAAAAUCUUUAAAACACCAUUUAUAAGCUUUUAAAAUCUCUUGUAAAAACGAUAAUCACAAAGAAUUAUAAUUUCAACAGCACAUACCUUUUCUUCUUCCUCUUCUUUUCCUUCUUCCUCUUCCUUUUCUUCUUCCUCUUCUUUUUUUUCUUCUCUAGUAGAACUGGCAGAAACUCUUUCGAUCCCUAAAUAGCCCUCCACCCUUCCAACUUUUUUCUUAAGAACUUCACAGUUUUCAUAGACCAGUGCUACUUUCUCACCAAAGGACAUUAAUUUCCUUUUUCUGCUGUGAUGCACAAUUGUUUCAAUUGUAAGUUUCAUUACAUGAUCAAUUCUACUUUCAUGUCCUUGUUCCACUUGAACCAACCCUGACACCAAUCCUUUUUGCUCAUUCUAUACCCUUUGAUCACAAGAUCAAAAACAUCUAACAGAUCAUUGUCUUCAAUAUCCUUCUGUGAAACCAAGUGGUCAUAUUCAUGAGAAUUAACACCAACUAUUGGUGUACUUCAAACUGCAAAGAUAAACUAAAUUCCAAACUAUGUAAAAAUCAUGUACAAUGCUUAAUUAACCUUUAAAAAUCCCUUAUAAAU